UGGGGAAUUUUGGACAAUGGGGGAAACCCUGAUCCAGCCAUCCCGCGUGUGCGAUGAAGGCCUUCGGGUUGUAAAGCACUUUUGGCAGGAAAGAAACGUCAUGGGUUAAUACCCCGUGAAACUGACGGUACCUGCAGAAUAAGCACCGGCUAACUACGUGCCAGCAGCCGCGGUAAUACAUAGGGUGCAAGCGUUAAUCGGAAUUACUGGGCGUAAAGCGUGCGCAGGCGGUUCGGAAAGAAAGAUGUGAAAUCCCAGAGCUCAACUUUGGAACUGCAUUUUUAACUACCGGGCUAGAGUGUGUCAGAGGGAGGUGGAAUUCCGCGUGUAGCAGUGAAAUGCGUAGAUAUGCGGAGGAACACCGAUGGCGAAGGCAGCCUCCUGGGAUAACACUGACGCUCAUGCACGAAAGCGUGGGGAGCAAACAGG
rnacentral:rRNA from 1 species